rnacentral:rRNA from 1 species
UACAGAGGUCUCAAGCGUUGUUCGGAUUCAUUGGGCGUAAAGCGUGCGUAGGUGGUGAGUUAAGUCUGUCGUGAAAUCCCCGGGCUCAACCUGGGAACUGCCUUUGUGACUGCAAGGCUUGAGUGCGGCAGAGGGGGAUGGAAUUCCGCGUGUAGCAGUGAAAUGCGUAGAUAUGCGGAGGAACACCGAUGGCGAAGGCAAUCCCCUGGGCCUGCACUGACGCUCAUGCACGAAAGCGUGGGGAGCAAACAGG